UUCAGGCAAAAUGUGGAUUUCAUUUUUAGUUUAUGGAAACAGUAAGAGAAAAAUGACAUGAAAAUAUUUUUUUUUCCAAAUGUUUCUGUCAGGAAAGAUAGCCUCUUGAGCAGGGAGGGCUGGAGAUGCAGAUAUGCAUAAGCGCAUGGUGCUGAGGAUGGAGUGACUGAGUCCUUGACUGCAGCUCCCUUCAGAGAUUGCAGUUUCCUGGCUGCACACAGUCUGGUGUGGGGAGGACAACUUUUGCCUGUGAAGCCUGCCAGGAUAUAAAGAUGUUUAAUUGGAUAACCUUAUUCAUUCAGCUGUGAUCUGCGGAAGGAUCUGAACAGCCAGUAAUAUGGUUAUGUUCAUUCCGAAUAAAUUAAUGAUGCUGAAGAGUCAAGAUUGAGAUUGCAACCAGAUACCUGUGCUGAGAUGUCUAUGCAGAAGAGUCUGAGGUUAGCCUCCUGGAGUUUCGGGGAAAAGUACACAGGCAUUCCUGAACACUCUAAGAGGUGAAGAAAAGUGGCUGAGCAGACAGACGCGAGGUCUGGCAUGGAGGCAGAGGAUCACAGCGGAGCAUGGACCUAACAGCUGGAUACUGUGUGGGGAUAUCACUAUCAGCAGAAGAUGCAACAAGACCGGGCCAGUGCUCAAGGCCAGAGAGAUAGGUUUGCAGGGGCCAGUGGGGCAGCGAUGAGCAUAGAAGACAGUCUUCUCCACUUUGAUAAGAAAGCAAUGUGAAAGGCACCUGAGAAACUCAGAUUACAACCAGGGAGAAGAAAAUCAGAGAUACAAGGUGGGAUGCAUCCUGAAUUGGUAGAGUAGAUACCCCAGAGUGUUCUACCAGAGUUGACAGAAUUACCUUGAAUAAAUAAGAGGAAGGUAUUUUAUUACCAAGAGUCUCACGGGCUAAGUUUAAAUACAGAGGAAUAAAGUUAUAUCUUUACACAGUUGGGUGUGUGACAAUGUAAAAUGUCAACAUUAUACUUCCCAAUGGACUAUACCAUGCAGAAGGGAGAAAGAAGUCAAAAGCCUGUUCUUUUUAUUUUUUUCUGUUCCACAGUAAAUAGCAGAAAUUAUUCCCUUUGUUAAUCUAAGCAUACACCAGUCUGUAGGUUCAUAAUGAGAAAUAACUUUUUGAUUUUUUUAAAGAAAAUAUAGAAUUUAUAACAGAAAACCUUUUUGGUUUGUGUUUUAUUCCACCUUCUUUUAGCUAGAUUUGAAUGAAAGAAAAAUAAAGCCAUGUAUUGAAUAAAUAUGUUAACUCUACAGUAUUUUUGAAUAUAUAUUUUUCAUGGUAUAGUUCCAACUUUCACUGGUGAUAUUGAUAUGAAGGUCAGAUUUACUGAGAGGUAAUGUUCAGCCUUGGAAGCAUCACCAAAAUGUGUAUACAAGGCCUUUGUCCACUAAUGAGUGUCCUUUCAUGUGACUGGUUUUGUAAAGCCUUACACUGUGAAUGGACCGUCAAUCAACUCGCAGCUGCACUGAGGCCUUCCGAUGGCUGUAUCCAUGGCAACGUGCCAAAAAUGGCGGCGCAAAUUAAUCUAUUUGUGUGAAAUUCUCAGUGAGAGUCCACUUUCAUCUUUCAGAAACUACUGUUAGGAAGUCUGAUGAUAAUGUAAAAUACUGAGCAAAAGCAAAAUAGUGAUGGACUAUCCACAGGAUCUUCUCCCUGUAAACAGUGGGACUUCUUUUCCUUUUUAUCUGCAAGAGAUGACAGAGCACAGUUAGGGAUGUAAUAUUACCACCAUAAUGUUCUUUUUACAAAAAAGUUACGUUAAUUUAAUGUUCACAUGUAAGCUGCUUUUUCACCUUCUCUCACAAUGCUAUCUAAUCAGCCUGGAAAAUAAGUACAAUGAUUUACACAGUGGUACAAAAUUAAAAGUAAUCUUUUAUCUUGAUGCUUUAUUGCUAAUAGUAUUCGUAUAGCAUAUAGCAUGAGGGAUACUUCCAGCUUUGAAUCUGAAAUUAAUUGUUAGCUUCCUCUAUUAUAUGAACAGAAGCAGCUAAGUCUUUGUCUCUUAGAAAAGUUCUUUAAAAAUCAUCGUUCUUUGUCUUAGGUCAUGCAUUAGUCCUACAUCUACAUACAUUUGCUUUUCAAAUGCCAUAUCUUAAAAAAAACAUAUUUUGCCUCUGUUUGGAUAAAUUUACUUAAAAUUGCAAAUUGUAUUGUUAAAAUUAUUUAAUGAAAAGGUAACUUUUCACAAACUAAACAUGUAGGGUAGAUACAGACUUUUAUUUUAGAAUUUACAUUCAUUAGUCGAAGAUAUCCAAGUGAAAGCAUAAGUGAUGUGCCUUAUGUCUACUUGUUACUCCUGUCUUGGGGACUUGAGCUGUAUUUUUAUGUACAGAACAAAAGGAUUAUUUUGUAUUGCAUUGUUCUCAGUUUUUUAAAGUCAUUCAUCAGCUACUUUGAGAAUCUAAUAAAAGUCCUGGACACCUAUGAGAAAUACA